UACGUAGGGUGCAAGCGUUAUCCGGAAUGAUUGGGCGUAAAGCGUCUGUAGGUGGCUUUUUAAGUCUGCCGUCAAAUCCCAGGGCUUAACCCUGGACAGGCGGUGGAAACUACCAAGCUGGAGUACGGUAGGGGCAGAGGGAAUUUCCGGUGGAGCGGUGAAAUGCGUAGAGAUCGGAAAGAACACCGAUGGCGAAGGCACUUUACUGGGCUAUUACUAACACUCAGAGACGAAAGCUAGGGUAGCAAAUGGG
rnacentral:rRNA from 1 species